GAUCAUGGCUCAGGAUGAACGCUGGCGGCGUGCCUAAUACAUGCAAGUCGAACGCGCAGCGAGAGGUGCUUGCACCUUUCAAGCGAGUGGCGAACGGGUGAGUAACACGUGGAUAACCUGCCUCAAGGCUGGGGAUAACAUUUGGAAACAGAUGCUAAUACCGAAUAAAACUUAGUAUCGCAUGAUAUCAAGUUAAAAGGCGCUACGGCGUCACCUAGAGAUGGAUCCGG
rnacentral:rRNA from 1 species